rnacentral:lncRNA from 1 species
GGGUUUGUAGAUUUAUUUAGAGAAACACAAAAAUUAAAAAAAAAAUCACAAGAAAGAAAGUUGGCAGUGUGUAGCUUUAAAAAUAACAUUAUUUAUGAGACUAACGUGAAAAAUAUAAAAAACAUUCAACUUAAUACUAAACCCAACCAUCGAGCAUUUUGGUAUAUUUUUUAAGAUAUUAAUACACGUGAAAAUAUACUUAAUGAAGUAGAAGUUUGGACGGGUAAAUCAAAUAUAGCAACAUGAAUACAGUAAAAAAAUCUAUAAAUUAAUAAUAUUAAUGAUAUUUAAUUCAUGUAUAAAAUUAUUAUUUUAACAAAAAGUUUAGCAACAGCUUGUUUAUUGCAAAGGUGAAUAUUUGCAGUAUGACUGAUUGUCUUACCACAUCCAGUUGUAAAGUUUUUUAAAGAAUGAACAUUUAAACUUGAAAUGAGGUUUGGCAAUAAAAAAUCUCUAGGUUGUUACCAGGAAAGUAUGAGAUAUCACCAUCUAAAUUUAGUAGUUUUUCAACCCACACAAUGCAUAAAUUGUUUUACUAUAUUUUUACAUUGUACUUCAAACUAUUUUAUUGAAAAAGUAAUAAAAGUUAUAAUUUGAGUUUAAAUUGUAAAAAGCUGAUUUGAACAUUGUUUUUUAGUUAUAGAAGAUUAUACAUAUAUAUAUAUAUAUAUAUAUAUAUACACAUUUUUCUUCUAAUUUUUAGCAAUGUAUUCCUUAAUAUACUUUUGUGAUCGGUUCUUUAAUUCCCAGGUUUGUUACUUGAGUGAUAGAGUGAGGAGUAAAACUUGUGUUGUUAUGGUUUGUUUAUAAUUUCCUUGGU